rnacentral:rRNA from 1 species
UUAAGCAUAUCAAUAAGCGGAGGAAAAGAAACCAACAGGGAUUGCCCUAGUAACGGCGAGUGAAGCGGCAAAAGCUCAAAUUUGAAAUCUGGCUUCGGCCCGAGUUGUAAUUUGUAGAGGAUGUUUCGGGCACCGCCCCGGCGUAAGUCCCUUGGAACAGGGCGUCAUAGAGGGUGAGAAUCCCGUCUGGCGUCGUGGUAGGGCCCAUGUGAAACUCCUUCGACGAGUCGAGUUGUUUGGGAAUGCAGCUCAAAAUGGGUGGUAAAUUUCAUCUAAAGCUAAAUACUGGCCAGAGACCGAUAGCGCACAAGUAGAGUGAUCGAAAGAUGAAAAGCACUUUGAAAAGAGAGUUAAACAGUAUGUGAAAUUGUUGAAAGGGAAGCGCUUACAACCAGACUUGAGCCCGUCGGUUCCCCCUCGCUUCUGCGUGGGCUACUCCGGCGGGUCCAGGCCAACAUCGGUUCGGGUGGCUGGUCAAAGGCCCCGGGAAUGUACCUCACCUUCGGGUUAGGCUUAUAGCCCGGGGUGUCAUGCGGCCUACCUGGACCGAGGAACGCGCUUCGGCUCGGAUGUUGGCGUAAUGGUUGUCAGCGACCCUUCUUGAAACACGGACCAAGGAGUCGAAGAGCUAUGCGAGUGUUUGGGUGUCAAACCCGUACGCGUAAUGAAAGUGAACGGAGGUAGGAAGCUUCGGCUGCACUAUCGACCGAUCCUGAUGUUCUCGGAUGGAUUUGAGUAAGAGCAUAACUCUCCGGACCCGAAAGAUGGUGAACUAUGCCUGAAUAGGGUGAAGCCAGAGGAAACUCUGGUGGAGGCUCGCAGCGGUUCUGACGUGCAAAUCGAUCGUCAAAUUUGGGUAUAGGGGCGAAAGACUAAUCGAACCAUCUGGUAGCUGGUUCCUGCCGAAGUUUCCCUCAGGAUAGCAGUAACGUUUUCAGUUUUAUGAGGUAAAGCGAAUGAUUAGAGGCCUUGGGGUUGAAACAACCUUAACCUAUUCUCAAACUUUAAAUAUGUAAGAAGUCCUUGUUACUUAGUUGAACGUGGACAUUUGAAUGUAUCGUUACUAGUGGGCCAUUUUUGGUAAGCAGAACUGGCGAUGCGGGAUGAACCGAACGUGAGGUUAAGGUGCCGGACUGCACGCUCAUCAGACACCACAAAAGGUGUCAAUGCAUCUAGACAGCCGGACGGUGGCCAUGGAAGUCGGAAUCCGCUUAGGAGUGUGUAACAACUCACCGGCCGAAUGCAUUGGCCCUGAAAAUGGAUGGCGCUUAAGCGUGCGACCUAUACCUCGCCGUCAGGGUUGACAUGAUGCCCUGACGAGUAGGCAGGCGUGGAGGUUUGUGACGAAGCCUUGGGGGUGACCCCGGGUCGAACAACCUCUAG